rnacentral:pre_miRNA from 1 species
AUCACCUGGAAAUUUUGAUAAAAUGCAGAUUCAUAUUCACAAGUCUGGGAUUCUGCAUUUCUAACCAGCUCCCAAGUGAUGCUGG